AACUAAUUUAACUUUGAGAUCAAAAAUAUUAAUCACGAUCUACAAAUUCCAAAAAGGAAACAAAACUGUAACCAGAUUCAAAUCAAAGCGAAACGCAAAACGAUCUAUAAAUUCCAAAAGACAAAAAAAAAACAAUGAUUUUUUCGUCAAACACACAAUGAUGUUUAGACUCCUAAAAAAAACUGUAACCGGAUUGAAAUCAAAGUGAAAUACCAAAUGACAUUUAUAAGUAGCAAAAAAUAAUAAUUAACUGCGACUGGAUUCAAAUCAAAGCGAAACACAAAAUGAUACUUAAAAUCAAAAAAAAAAAUCGUAGACAGAUUUAGAUCAGAGUAAAACACAUAAUGAUUAUUAAAUUCCGAAAGAGAAAAAAUGUAACUGGAUUCAAAUCAAAGUGGACCACAAAACGAUCUAUAAAUUCCAAAACAUAAAAUUUGCAGUAACCGAAUUCAAAUCGAAGUGAAAUUUACCUGAACGUAAGCUUGAGGAACACGAUUUUCAACCGAAGCGAUCGCAGUAGCAGCAGCGUUUAUAGUCUCCAGAGUCCUAUCCACUCCUCUUUGCUCUCCGUUCACUCGUCUCAUCUUCUCCUCUCUUUUACACAACAAAUCACCUCAAUUCCUAAACUCCGACGACUCCUCAGCUCUACAACAUCGCCAGACCUCACUUUUCCAAUCGAAAUACCAAAAAAAUUUAUUUUCUCAGACAAAAAAUCAAAGUAACCGAACAAAUUUGGAGAAGAUGAAGUUGAUUUCUUCAAUAUUCAUUCUGGAAAAUGUACACA
rnacentral:lncRNA from 1 species